UAUCGGGCGGUAUUUAGAUUUUGCGUUUCAUCUUCUUGAAAAGCUUUGCUGUGCUUGAUUGCAUGGUGUGGGAAUCAGGACAUUUACUUUGAGGAAUUUAGAGUGUUUCAAGCAGGUUUGUGCUGAAAUAGCCUAGCAUGGAAUAAUAACAUGGGGUCUUGGUCUUGUUUGUUGGUUUCUAGGCUGAGGAAACAAUCAAUAGGGAUAGCUGGGGGCAUUUGUACUUAACUGUCCGAGGUGAAAUUCUUGGAUUUGUUAAAGACAAACUACUGCGAAAGCAUUUGUCAAGGAUGUCUUCAUUGAUCAAGAACGAAAGUUAAGGGAUCGAAGACGAUCAGAUACCGUCCUAGUCUUAACCAUAAACAAUGCCAUCUAGAGAUUGGAGGUAGUGCCAAGGAUUACUCCUUCAGCAUCAUUUGAGAAAUCAAAGCUUCUGGGUUCCGGGGGGAGUAUGGUCGCAAGGCUGAAACUUAAAGGAAUUGACGGAAGGGCACCACCAGGAGUGGAGCCUGCGGCUUAAUGUGACUCAACACGGGAAAACUCACCAGAACCAGACAUAAACAGGAUUGACAGAUUGAUAGCUCUUUCUUGAUUUUAUGGGUGGUGGUGCAUGGCCGUUCUUAGUUGGUGGAGUGAUCUGUCUGGUUAAUUCCGUUAACGAACGAGACCUUGUCUUACUAAAUAGUUACAUGUAAC
rnacentral:rRNA from 1 species